rnacentral:rRNA from 1 species
CGCUGAAAGCAUCUAAGCGCGAAGCCAACUUCAAGAUAAGAUUUCCCACCGCAAGGGUAAGACCCCAGAAAGACUAUCUGGUUGAUAGGUCGAAGGUGUAAGUGCAGCAAUGUAUUUAGCUUAUCGACACUAAUAGGUCGAGGACUUGACCAA